AACUGAAACAUCUAAGUACCCGGAGGAAAGGACAUCAACGAGACUCCGUUAGUAGUGGCGAGCGAACGCGGACCAGGCCAGUGCUUUUUGUUUUUCUAACCGGAACGAUCUGGAAAGGUCGGCUGCAGCGGGUGAUAGCCCCGUACGGAUUUCGAUAGCAAGAAGCCACGAGUAGGGCGGGACACGUGCAAUCCUGUCUGAACAUGGGGAGACCACUCUCCAAGCCUAAGUACUCCUCAGCGACCGAUAGCGAACAAGUACCGUGAGGGAAAGGUGAAAAGCACCCCGACGAGGGGAGUGAAACAGUUCCUGAAACCGGAUACCUACAAACAGUCGGAGCCCGCAAGGGUGACGGCGUACCUUUUGUAUAAUGGGUCAGCGACUUAAAGUAACGAGCAAGCUUAAGCCGAUAGGCGGAGGCGCAGCGAAAGCGAGUCUGAACAGGGCGUUCAGUUCGUUGCUUUAGACCCGAAACC
rnacentral:rRNA from 1 species